rnacentral:lncRNA from 1 species
UUUAAAUAUGGUAGUGUGUGACUUAAUCUUAAGAAUACCCCCUGUCGCAAUCCCCAGUGUUCUGUUUGAUUAUCAGGAUUUUUUUGUUGUUUUGGGCUUCCCAGGUGUCACAGUGGUAAGAAAUCUGCCUGACAAUGCAGGAGACAGAGGGGACACGGGCUCAAUUCCUGAGUCAGGAAGAUUCCCUGGAGUAGGAAACCAGUAUUUUUACCUGGAAAAUUCCAUGGACAGAGGAGUCUGGUGGGCUACGAGUCCAGGAGGUCACGAGUUGGACAUGACUGAACACAUUGUUUUGAAUGUAGGAUGACAUGCCUGCAAGACAAGACGGAAGCCAUGAGUAGACAGGCCAAGCAUGGAAAUUCUGAAUGCAUCCUCUGUUGUUUUUGUGUAAGUGGGAUUCUUCAUGGAACCGUCACAAUAUCACCCUUAAUUUCACUUAAAGGACUGUGCCCAUGUGUAUUUACGUGUGUGCCACUUCAUAGUGGAUGUGACAGAAGAGCAGCAGCCAGGCUGGUUAGGCUGCAAUCUGGAAAGUUGGAGGAAAAAACCCUAUGUUUUGCAGCUCUCCAAUCCAUGCUUCAGUGGGAAGAACAGCCUGUUUGCUGUUACAGACUGCUUGUCCUUGGCUCAUGCUGAUGGCAACGAGACGUUGAUUUUCAGGUUAAUUGGAAAGAGUUUCGUUUAUUUGAAUGGAAUCUUAUCAAAAUGCAUCCUGAAAGUACAUCCUGGGCCAAACCUCCCCUCUUUUGAGGUGAAGGUAAAAGAGAUGAUGUUUUCAGAAAUUUCCUUGAGUUAAAAACUAGACUGUAUAUUCACAAUUACAUCUUUGUUUGGAAAAAAGACUCAGUGCACAGUGACCUUGUAGGUCUAUCUUUGUGAGCAAAGAGUUUAUCCAGAAGAGCAAGGAAGGAAGCAAAGGAGGAAAGAAAGAAGAAAGAAAGGAUGAGAAGGAGAAUGACUGCAAGAAUGACGCUAAAGACGAAAUGUGGCAGCUGCAUUUCUAGAAGAUUCUAUCUCCUCUUAGGACUGGCCACCACUCCCACUCCAGACUCUGAAACGCCCUCUUGGUUCCGUGUGUUCUGUCUGCUUCUCUCCUCAUGCUGACUGCCAGGUUUGGAAAAUCACACCUUAGUUCCAAGUCAUGCUUCUUAUCCAGGUCCCCAGAUCAGCCCCCCUCUUCAUCUCCAGGUAGGUGCGUGGCAUCCGCAGCAGGUGGGUCCCACCGCAGUGUGGGAGCAGCCGUGUGACAUGGUUCAGUUAUGCGCUUACUCUCCUUCCACGAUACAAGUUCUUUAAGGUGGUCUGUCAGCUGCCAAAACUGUCGAGAGAAGAGCCAGGCAGUAUUGUCCCUACCCCGCCUCACAUGAAGAAAACAUAAUCUUGUCUCUCUUUACCCUGCCAAGUCUCGGUAUGUAUUUGGCACAUUUAAUAUGUUUACUAUCAGUUAUAACAUGAAUGAUUCUGGAUUUCCUACUUCACACACACACACAGCACAAAUACACCAAGAA